rnacentral:rRNA from 1 species
UACGUAGGGUGCAAGCGUUGUCCGGAAUUAUUGGGCGUAAAGAGCUCGUAGGCGGUCUGUCGCGUCGGCUGUGAAAUCCCGAGGCUCAACCUCGGGUCUGCAGUCGAUACGGGCAAACUGGAGUACUGCAGGGGAGACUGGAAUUCCUGGUGUAGCGGUGAAAUGCGUAGAUAUCAGGAGGAAUACCGAUGGCGAAGGCAGGUCUCUGGGCUGACACUGACGCUCAUGCACGAAAGCGUGGGGAGCAAACAGG